CUAUUACAUACAGAAAUAUCACAUGCAGCUGUAAAUGAUUUUAUUUGUACUUUCUUAAUAUUUUAGUGAAUGUUCAUUGCAGUAUGUAUUUUUGCCUGAAGACGUAGUGGGCACAUCUGAUGAAUGCAGCCAUAUGGUUGGCGAUGACGGGUAUUACCCAGUGAAACGGGUAGUAAAAACAAAAAAACAAAAGGGGAAAAUAAUGGAACUAAUCGAGUGGGAGCCCUGCUCCAUGUGUGGAAAGAUAUUCCAACUUGAGCGGGUACGGAUGGAAGAAACCAAAAAAAAAACAAUUUGUAAAUAAUAAUAAAUACAUCUGCAAAAGUGUGAUCUUGAUGUUGUUGUUGCAAUUCAUGCAUGCGUAC